AGCAGCUCCUAACCAAGCAUUCGCUACUCCUCAACUCUCAGCAGGAAAGGCACGGGCGCCACCACACUGGAGAGAUGGACGAGGACAUGAAGCUUUCGUGGAGACGACAAUGUGGACGCCGCUGCACCCCCACGCCAUGGACACGAAGAUUCCCAUCCUCUCUGCCCUCGAUAACCACUUCAGCGGUGCCAUGAACGGCAGCAACCGCCUCUUCUCGGCACACGCAGACCACAUGGCCGUCUUCCUCUCUGGCCUCUUCCACACCAACAGCUCAGGUCAACUAGGAGAUGAUGCAAGCCAAGGCGUUCACACUGAUUUAAUAUGUUUGCUCUAUGUUUGGUCAUAUUGUUCCUGGCGGUCCUGGAAGUAUCUUCAAGUUUUAAUAGAGGCAAUCCAUGGUCCUGAGAUCGACAAAGUUUGUGGCAUCCUUCUUCCUUAUGUAUUGCGUCUAAUUGCCUCUGGUCAUAAAUAGCAAGACACUGAUGGAGGAGCCAUCCAGCUCAUGCUGCGAUUGUUCCAGCUUUCCGUACUAAGAAAUCACUGACUGCCAGGAAACGGAAGUGGACUGUGUGCCAGAGAUGGAAGUUGUUAUUUGAAUGUGCCAUGUGUGGUUAAACUGAGCUGACUCCGAAUGUGCUUCAUGCAAUUAAAUUGAUCAGAGCAGUUUAUCUUUGCUUGUCAACUCUAUAUUAGUUGACAGACGAUCGCCGAGGCUCUCUGUCGCAGCUGUGUGCCUGAUCAACGAGCCAAAUAUUUCGAGUCUGCUUGCUCUCGUGUCUGAAGAGAAGAUAUCAGUGAUGGUGGACCUGCUGAUGGUGGACCAAUGCGGUGAGACGUACCUGUUCCAUAUAACCAUGUGAAAGUAGUAAAUCCUUUCACCUUGAUGAGGCACUGUAAUCAACGGCCUAGCGCAAGCAUGCCAUAGCUCCUUGUAUAAUGUGUCGCUAGAAAUCCCUGCACAAAAGAUUCAUUAUGUGAACUAGGCAUAAAAUUCAAGGGCCUUUCACCUUAAUAUAUAAUGGCAGAUUCUAACA